UACGUAGGGCGCAAGCGUUAUCCGGAAUUAUUGGGCGUAAAGAGCUCGUAGGCGGUUUGUCGCGUCUGCCGUGAAAGUCCGGGGCUCAACUCCGGAUCUGCGGUGGGUACGGGCAGACUAGAGUGAUGUAGGGGAGACUGGAAUUCCUGGUGUAGCGGUGAAAUGCGCAGAUAUCAGGAGGAACACCGGUGGCGAAGGCGGUUCUCUGGGCAUUACCUGACGCUGAGGAGCGAAAGCGUGGGGAGCGAACAGG
rnacentral:rRNA from 1 species